rnacentral:rRNA from 1 species
AUUGAACGAUGGCGGCAGGCCUAACACAUGCAAGUCGAGCGAGCGGCGGACGGGUGAGUAAUGUAUGGGGAUCUGCCCGAUAGAGGGGGAUAACUACUGGAAACGGUAGCUAAUACCGCAUACUAUCGGAUGAACCCAUAGGGGAUUAGCUAGGUGGGGAGGUAAUGGCUCACCAAGGCGACGCUACCUAGCUGGUCUGAGAGGAUGAUCAGCCACACUGGGACUGAGACACGGCCCAGACUCCUACGGGAGGCAGCAGUGGGGAAUAUUGCACAAUGGGCGCAAGCCUGAUGCAGCCAUGCCGCGUGUGUGAAGAAGGCCUUCGGGUUGUAAAGCACUUUCAGCGAGGAGGCGUUACUCGCAGAAGAAGCACCGGCUAACUCCGUGCCAGCCGCCGCGGUAAUUC